rnacentral:rRNA from 1 species
GAUGAACGCUGGCGGCGUGCCUAAUACAUGCAAGUCGAGCGGACGGACGAUACGCUUGCUUCUCGGAUGUUAGCGGCGGAGGGGUGAGUAACACGUGUAUCACGUACCUAUAAGACUGGGAUAACUUCGGGAAACCGUAGCUAAUACCGUAGAAUAUUUUGCACCACAGGGUUCAAAAGUGAAAGACGGUCGUGGUGUCACGUAUAGAUGGAUCCGCGCUGCAUUAGCUAGUUGGUAAGGUAAAGGCUUACCAAGGCAACGAUGCAUAGCCGAACUGAGAGGGUGAUCGGCCACAUUGGAACUGAGACACGGUCCAGGCGACUACGAGAGGCAGCAGUAGCGUAUCUUACGCAGUGGGCGAGAGCCUGGCGGAGCAACGGCGCGUGAGUGAUGGAGGUCUUCGGAUCGUAAAACUCUGUUAUUAGGGAAAAACAUAUGUGUAAGUAACUGUGCACAUCUUGACGGUAACUGAUAAGAAAGCCACGGCUAACUACGUG